ensembl:lncRNA
GGAUAUCUAUCCACAGUGAAUCUGGUGGCCAGAGUAGCUGGGUACAUUGAAUCCUCUACUUCAAAAGUCGAUGAGGUGUUGUUACUGUGAAUGUAAAACACAUGGGAGACGGAAGGGAGAAAAAGAAGAGAUGAAGAAGCCUUUGAAAUUGAUCCAGUGCCUCAUAUCAUGCAAGACCACAGUCAGGCUGAAAGUACAAAUUUCCCAAGUUCCCCUGCAACUCCUGUACUCCUGUCAUCACUAAACACAGUACCCCUCAGGCUGGGGAGGAUGUGUGAAAGGUGAAUGCAGAGAACCUCUCCCCAGGGUCCAGACAGCAUUUUUAGAGCCAGGCAUUGCUUUAUGUUGCCAAGGGGGAAGUUCGGUGGUUCGGUGAGCAUGAUGAUGACAGUUUGAUCAAGAUGAUCAUAGUGAUCUCUUCCAACCUUAAUGGUUCUAUGACUCUACUGUAUGUUUUGUGUGCUGAAGACAAUAGCCAAAUAAUUAACUGAACCAGGAACCCAGCUUAUUGUAGUUAUUAUGCCAAGCAACUACAGUGGAAACUUUGGUGGAAAGCUAGGUCUCAUUUCAGGCCACCUAAGCUCUUCUAUGAGAAAUGUAUGCCAGCACUGGUUUCAGCCUGUUCACUAGAAUGAGUGCGUAUACGUGUUCCUCCUUCCUGCUCCUACAGUAAAAAAACAGACUGUCAUGUGUUGUACUUGCUGGUUUGAACGGAAGAAGAUAGACAUGAAUAUGAAAUUUUUCAUAUCUGCAAUUUUUCUUUUGCCUCCCACCAUCUUUUUGAUUAGUGUAGACAGCUGUCUCCAGCACAUACCAUUACUGAUCAUGAAGAGAGAAAAAGUAAACAUCUUGUCAACAGAGGUAAUGGACAAAGGAUUCUUUUCAAUACACCCCAUGCUAAUGGGGUCUUUGGCUCAGCAAUCUUCAGCCUGGAAAGUGCAUGACAGAAGUGUAUAUAGCUGUUCAGUAAUUUAGAGAAAACAAAUGUGGAAAAACUGUCCACAGAGAAUUACAAAAAUGGAGCAUUUGAAGGUGGAAAACACAGAACAAAGGAAAUAGUCGGGAUCUUCACAGAGCCUUAUCAGGCUGUGGAGGUCUUUGCUGCAGAUGGCUGAUGUAGAUGUUUGCAGGAGUCCACAAAGCAGUGGGGCAAACCCAUGGAAGAAAACUGAUACAGGUCUCUGAAGUUUGAGGGUAAGAUUCAUGGCUCAAAACCUGGCAGUAUAGUCCAGUGAGGAGAAGAUACUGAAUUAUAUGGACUCAUGCAUGACCUUGAUGUGACCAUUCUUUACUUCAUGUUCUUUUAGCAUGCUAUAUGAUUGAAUCAAAGAUCACUCCUUACAUAGGUUUGUUGGACCUGGCACAAGGAUAUCAUAUGGUAAUAACAAAUCUAAAACAACAUUUCUUUUCUCCACAUUUAUUCAGUGCAGAUAAUGAUUCUUUCCAGGCCCACACCUGAAAGCACAGUCUAGUCUGUUUUGUUCUGGCUUGUAGAUUUUAAUUCUGAGUGUUAGUUUCACUUUGGAUGUCUCAUUAGCAGGGUGACAUUUUCCUAUUAGAUGAAAAUGUUCAACACAGAUUUCCUUGUCACCACGUUACUGUCAUCUUGUCUUUUGUCAUCAUGGCUGAUGGUUCAACGUGCUCUGAUCUACUAUCCUUUUUUUUUUUUUUUUUUUUUUUGUGUGUGAUGCAGUUAUUAUUGUGUGCUCUAUCUCUCUCCCUUUCUCUUCUUCGGCAGUGAUAAAAAGAAUAAAUAAAAAUGAAAUAUACAAAGUAUAAACUGCCUUUAUGACUGAAUGACUUUCUUGCUGCAUUAAGCAAUUUCUUUUGUGCCAGCACCUCUCAUGAAAGCUCAGGAUGUUCUCCUGAUGUAUUCAUGAGAGCUACUUUGCUGCAAUCAUUGCAUGCAUGACUGAUUUUUUUUGAAACAAGCUCAUGAUUAUUGAUAUCUGGGAUUCUUCUUUUCAGCUUAGUAGCCAGGAGGGGGUGUCCGUAUCUUACAAAUCAGCUCUCCUUCAAGACUGGUGGCAAAAUAACUUCUAACAGGCACAGCACUGUGAAAUAUCUUGUCUCUAUAAGCUAUGCAGAGAGGGGAAAGUGGUGAGGAACAGUACAAACACAAAAGCAUAAAUGGGAGCUGAUGCAGAGCUGCAGGAAGCCUCGUUCCUGGAGACAUUCAAGGUUGUGCUGGACGGUGGUCUGAGCACCCUGGUUUAGCUGUUGAUGUCUCUGUUCUUUGCAGGUGAAUUGAACUAAAUGACUUUCAAAGGUCCCUUCCAACUCAAACAAUUCUGUAAUUCUAUGAUUCUACAGAGGGCGGAGAGAGGCUGUGGGGAGCAGCAGAGGAGAGUCAAGAGGAGAAAGGGAAGAGGAAGGGGAUUCCCACAAUGUAAUAGAGCAUGUCAGAUAGAUCUUCUUUGUGCUAUUCUUGAUCUUCUUCAUUGCUUUACAUUUGGCACCAAG